AGUACUGUACAGUCAAAAGGCAUACUAGGAAAAAAAAGUAUUUAUGAUGUGUGGGAGAAUAGGGGGAGACUUUUUUUCCCCAAUAUAUAAAAGCUUUUAUAAGUCAGCAACGCAAAAGAAUAAUGAGUAAUUUGCUGAAGAUAUUUCAAUAGACCAAUAAAUAUUUAAGAAGAUACUUUACCUCAGUGAUAAAAUAGGUAUAAAGUAAGACAAUAGUGUGAUCCCUUUUCAUCUAUCAUAUUCAGCUAAGAUUGAUUACUUACAGUCUUUAUGAAAUCGAUUACUCAGUGGAGGAGUGGGUAUGGGGAAAUUGCUACUUGUAUACACUGCUGGUGGUAAAAAUUAGCACAGGCUUUUUAAAUUAAGUUUUUAAUUUUAACUCCGGUAUAGUUAACAUACAGUGUUACAUUAAUUUUAGGUGUACGAUAUAGUGAAUCAACACUUCAUGCAUUACUCAGUAGCACAGACUUUUUGAAGGGUAUUUUUUGCAAAAUCUAUUAAACUUGAUGACACGCCUACCCUUUGACUCAGCAAUUCCAUUUUUAGGGCUUUAGCUUACAGAAACCCAUACAAGUGCACAGAUGCAUGGAUAAGAAUGUUCUUUGAAGCAUUGUUUGUGGUACUAUAAAACUGGUAAUGAGACAAAUAGAGGGUUAGUUAAAUACAUUAUACUACUUCUGUAGACAAAGUCUCCCUGCAGCCAUUAUCAAUUAGAUUUUUAUUUAGUGCUACGGAAAGAUAUUUAAGAUUUUAUAUGUAUCCAAACAUUUUUUUAGUGUUCUUCUUUUGGUAUUUAAAACCUGACCUGAAUGGAUAUGUGGUUCUUUAUAAUCUUCGAUUAUCCCACUUAGUGUGAGUGCCCCUAUGUUUUAUUACAGAAGUAUGAAUGUAUCUGAUUACAGGGACUGCUCUGGAACCAUUGGAUGGAUAGGGUUAUUUGAAAUACACAGUAUAUACACUGUAUUAUCAUUCUAAAAUCUAAAAAGUUCUGAGACAUAUAUUCCUCCGAAGGUUUCUGGUAAAGGACUUGUAUUAAUCAAAAGGAAAAAGAAAGGCAAACUGUAAAAUAGUGUAUGCCAUAUUCCAGUUUUUAGGUUAAAAUAAUGUUAGUUUUAUGAACAGGAAGUAGUAGUUCUCCACACUUAACAGUGAUUAUCCGAGGUUAUGGCAAUGUCUUUUUCUCAUAAGUGAAAAUAAUUUGAUACAAGUUUGUGUACGAUGAGUAAUGUCGGAGUUGUGGAGAGGGUGGAACUGGCUUCUGCCUCUGAAGCAGUGUUUGUCAUUAUCUCAGAUACCGUGUGAUGACCCAGUCUGUGUGAAAGAUGAAUUUGAGUGUUGGAUUCCUUUUGAAUUUUCAGAACUUUUGGUUACAAUCCUUCUUGUUACUGAAUAGACACUUUUGGGGUCCCAGGCCUGAUUUGCCUUGUCACUUUCAUGAGGUGGUUUCCUGGUUUGGGUAAGGGCACAGAGUUCAGUUUUUUUUUUUUUAAAGAUUUUGUUUAUUUGAGAGAGAGCACGAGCGUGAGCAGGGGGUAGGGGAGGCAGAGGGAGAAGCAGGCUCUCUGCUCAGCAGGGAGCCCGAAGUGGAACUGGAUCCCAGGACCCUGAGAUCAUGACCUAAGCCUAAGGCAGACGCUUAACCAACUGAGCUGCCCAGGCACCCCCAGAGUUCAGAUUCUUUCUGUGCCUCUCAAAACAGGUUUCAGGGACCAUACUAUUGCUGACUCUUACUAUUUUGUUAGCUUUGACAGGUUGAUAAAUUUAGUACUUGAUUCUAUCAGCACUUAUUUGCAUUUCUUUUCAUAAAGCUUGAACAUGAUUAAUUACCUUUAAUUUAAAGGUGUAUGUAAAGAUGGCGUAGGCGUGUUCCAGUGAUCCUCCUCGAAGGGGAGUGUGUGGGAGGCUUCCUCUUCCUCUGGUAGGUACGCUUAGCCCAUUUUGGAGGGACCCCGCAUGUUUGGUGCCCUUUUGGCAUUGCCAUAGUCCCAUCAUCAACACUUUUAUUGCAUUUAGGAUGCUACAUUUUCUUUUCUAGUGAGGGUACUGGGGAUCCGUAGGAAGAAACCGAACGGUUGUAUGAAAAACCAAAGAGACCGAUAUCCCUGGGUUUUUUAAUCCUUCGGUACAGAUUCUCUAGGUCAGUUUGUUACGAAGAGUUUAACUUUCUGCCUUCUUCCUCAAAGCAAUUCCUCCAUCGUUUCUGUAGCUAAAAUCUGUGGGCAGUGUUUGCUGCCUGACAUCUGUGAGUCACUGGGGCAGAGCCUCCUGUGACUGGCACCAAUAUUGCAGAUUGAUCUGCAAUCCGCACUUCGAAUCACUUAGAACCAUCUGGUCUGCUACUCUCACAGCCAUCCUGCCUGCCUUUCCUCCUUUCUUCUUCCUUACUCUUUUCUUCCUUUAUUAUUAAUCUUAAAAGCUAAACUUUGAGACUUUAUUUGGAUUUCAUCACUUUUUCCCAUUAAUGGCCUCCUUCUGUUGCAGGAUCCAACCCAGGGCCUUAGUUGUCUCCCGGUCUCCUCUGGUCUGUGACAGUGUCUUAGUCUUUCCUUGUGUUUCACCAUCUUGACAGCCUUGAGCGCUACUGGCCGGGUAUUCUGUACAAGUUCUUCCAAUUUGGGGUUUUCUAUUCAUUUUACUGAUAAUUAUUUGAGAGGGUCUGGGGCUUUUGAAAGACCAUCACAGAGGUGCAGUGCCCUUCUUGUCACAUCCUAUCCGGGAUCAUGAUAGCCACGUGACAUCAGUCAUGGUGUUAACUUUCAUGACUUGGUAAAGGUAGUAUUUUACUAUCAAGUGUCUUCACUGUAGAGUUCCCAUUUCCCUUUUUCCUGUUUCUGUUCUUUGGAAGCAAGGUCACUAAAUCUAGUGCCCCCUCUUAGAGAGGGUGGAGGCAGAAAUGAAGCUGUACUUCCUGCAGGGGGAACUAUCUUCAUAUAUUAUUUGGAAUUCUUUUAGAAGAAAGAUGUGUUUCUUUUCCCCCAGUGAAUUUAAUCAUUUAAUCAUUGAUUUACAUCAGCAUGGAUUCACAUAGAUUUAUUUUAUACUUUGGGUUAUAAUCCAAUACUGUUAUUUAUUUUGUUCCUCAAGUCAUUCCAGCCUUGGCCGUAUUGGAACUCCUUCAGGGGGCUCCUGGAGACCUUUGACACGCUCCAGGGCCCAUUUUCUUCCUAGCACGACAAGAUGCGUCAGGUUCCUCUUGCUUUGUCACUGCUCCGGCCCCAGAACCCAUCAGUUUUUCAAGGGGCCUCAUUCCUUUUUUUGGAGAAUGGUAUUUAAAAAUCAAGAUCUGGGUGCAGGGUGUGCUUGCUGCUACCAGAAUGUCUUGCCCCUGUGUGUGUGUGUCUUUAAAAAAUUAUGGAAAAUAUCAAGCAUACACAAAAGUACAAAUGCUCAGUAUCUGUCAUGCAGCUUGAACAGUUACCGAUUAGAGGCCAAUCUUGGGUUCAUUUAUAUGGGCUCUCCCCAUUCUUCACCCCUCCGUCCCUGAUUAUUAUUUUUUAUGAGGACCCAAAUGAGGCUAUUAGUUUAUGUAUUUAUAUUAAAAAAAUAAAAAUUGUAGAUAUUUAAGGUGUACAACGUGAUUAUUUGAUAUAUAUGUACAUGUAAAAUGAUUACUCUAGUCAAGCUAAUUAAUACAUCUUCUCACAUAGUUAUCUUUUUUUGUGUGUGUGGUGAGAGAAUCUGAAAUUUACUCUCUUAGCAAAUUUCCAGUACGCUCUCGGUUAUUUCAAGUAAAUCCCAGUAAUUAUAUUAUUUCACCUGUACAUAUUUUAGUCUUGAUCUCUAAAAAAUAAAGAUUCUCUUAAAUAAAAUUUUAAACUGAGGUAUGAUAGAGUAGUAAGUAUGACAGUGUAGAGCUUUAUGAAUUUUUAUCAACGUAUAUAUCUCUGUAACCAUCAUCCAGAGCAAAUACAGGGCAUUUCUAGCCCCCCAGAAGCCCCCUCGAUCACCAGUGAUAAUUUUUAUAAGAACUUUUAAAAACAAACAUAAACCACAAUACCAUUAUUACACCUAAGAAAUGAACAGUCUUUCCUUAAAAUCAAAUGACCUAGGCAUUUGCAAUUGGGAGGUUCCCCUGUGACUACCUCUUCCCUCCCUUGAAAUGUCCUGGCUGCUUGUUCUGUACUUUGUCACAGUCUGGGUUCUGCUGAGAGCAUCAUGGUGCUGCUGUUCAACGUGUCUCCCUCAUAGAGCCUUUCUCGGGUGAAACUUGUCUCUCCCGUUCUGUUAGGUAACCCCCACAGCAGUGGGCGGUGGUUCUGUCUAUGGAGAAACUUCAUCAGGAAGGUGGCUUCACCAAACAGUUAUUGUCCCCGGUGCUGAUGAAAGUUCUCCUUCCCUCUGCUAGCUGGAUCUAGAAGAUUUCUUCAACAUUUUUGUAUUCUUUUCAGUAUGCAAAUCCUGUAGAAGAAAGGAAUAACUGUCUGUAGAAGAGAAUUUUGCUGUUCUUGGCUUUGCUUUCCUCUCUUCUAGUGGCUAAAUGACCAGGACAGUUGUAAGAAAGUAUAAAUAACUAGUAAACCUUUUUUAGUGUUGUUUCCUAGUAUGUCAGAGUCAUCUGCAUGCAGGGCUAGUUGUGGUUAAUCAUGACUGAAUGAUCUGCAGUACAGAAAAAGGAUGAAGCUAUAAAAAUACUUAGUUUUGGUUAUGUUUGAUUUGUUAAGUUCUCCUUUUUUUCUUCUU